AAUCCAUAGGUUAAUGAGGCGAACCGGGGGAACUGAAACAUCUAAGUACCCCGAGGAAAAGAAAUCAACCGAGAUUCCCCCAGUAGCGGCGAGCGAACGGGGAGGAGCCCAGAGCCUGAAUCAGCAUGUGUGUUAGUGGAAGCGUCUGGAAAGGCGCGCGAUACAGGGUGACAGCCCCGUACACAAAAGCGCAUGUGCUGUGAGCUCGAUGAGUAGGGCGGGACACGUGGUAUCCUGUCUGAAUAUGGGGGGACCAUCCUCCAAGGCUAAAUACUCCUGACUGACCGAUAGUGAACCAGUACCGUGAGGGAAAGGCGAAAAGAACCCCGGCGAGGGGAGUGAAAAAGAACCUGAAACCGUGUACGUACAAGCAGUGGGAGCCCCACCACUAAGCCAGUGGUGAACUCCACAUCCGCAU
rnacentral:rRNA from 1 species